rnacentral:rRNA from 1 species
CUGACGAGUGGCGGACGGGUGAGUAAUGUCUGGGAAACUGCCUGAUGGAGGGGGAUAACUACUGGAAACGGUAGCUAAUACCGCAUAACGUCGCAAGACCAAAGAGGGGGACCUUCGGGCCUCUUGCCAUCGGAUGUGCCCAGAUGGGAUUAGCUAGUAGGUGGGGUAAUGGCUCACCUAGGCGACGAUCCCUAGCUGGUCUGAGAGGAUGACCAGCCACACUGGAACUGAGACACGGUCCAGACUCCUACGGGAGGCAGCAGUGGGGAAUAUUGCACAAUGGGCGCAAGCCUGAUGCAGCCAUGCCGCGUGUAUGAAGAAGGCCUUCGGGUUGUAAAGUACUUUCAGCGAGGAGGAAGGUGUUGUGGUUAAUAACCACAGCAAUUGACGUUACUCGCAGAAGAAGCACCGGCUAACUCCGUGCCAGCAGCCGCGGUAAUACGGAGGGUGCAAGCGUUAAUCGGAAUUACUGGGCGUAAAGCGCACGCAGGCGGUUUGUUAAGUCAGAUGUGAAAUCCCCGGGCUCAACCUGGGAACUGCAUUUGAAACUGGCAAGCUUGAGUCUCGU